UAGGCUUUUGACGUCGGGACGCCUGAAGUUAACCGUGACGCUACAAUCGCCAGCAUACGGUGUUUACCAGAAGUCAGAAUCCGAUACAAACUUGGGAGAAGUUGAUGCAACAGAUGUUGAAGUGACUGAUUUUUUUUCAAAUGAUCACUUGAAUGGAAAGAUAGAAACCUAGUGUUGUAGUGGACCAUUUAUCGAUAACUGUUGAAUGUGAUUUUGGGUUCAAGAUGAGGAUAAUUGAAGCGGUAGACUCUCGAUCAGAUAACAGUGCUUCUUUUGUCUUUGAUAAAGUUUGUUGUGGAGGAGAAUGUGUCCAUUGAGCAGUUUGAAAUGUGGUGGUUAUAUCUUUUUGGAAUUAUUAUGUCCGUCAGCGCAGGGAGGGAAGCGUACGAAAGAAUAGGAUAUUUUUGGCACAUCACUGAUAUACAUUAUGACGGACAUGUGAUAUUCCAUGGAGAUGCCAGAAAAGGUUGCUGGCGACCUGAUUAUGAAGGUAUCAAAAGCAAAGCUUCAAGGAGACACAUGGGUCGUUA